UACGAAGGGGGCGAGCGUUGUUCGGAUUUACUGGGCGUAAAGGGCUUGUAGGUGGCCAACUAAGUCAGACGUGAAAUCCCUCGGCUUAACCGGGGAACUGCGUCUGAUACUGGAUGGCUUGAGUGUGGGAGAGGGAUGCGGAAUUCCAGGUGUAGCGGUGAGAUGCGUAGAUAUCUGGAGGAACACCGGUGGCGAAGGCGGCAUCCUGGACCAUAACUGACACUGAUAAGCGAAAGCCAGGGGAGCAAACGGG
rnacentral:rRNA from 1 species